CGAGCCCAGCAAGGCUAAGCGGACGGUGGCGCUCCCCCCCGAGGUGUGUGUGCGUGUGCGUGUGUGUGCGUCCGUGUGCGUGCGUGCGGCACUGUGUACGUCACGCUGCCCAGGGGAUCCGCGGUGGACUGUGGUGGUGGUGGUGGUGGAGUUUGUGGUGACGGUAGUGGUGAUGGCUAUAGUGGUGGCGGUGGUGGUGGUGAUGUGAUGAGUUAAAAGUCUUUGAGCUUUUUUUUACCUGUGCCUUAUUCCUCCACGUCCUUCCCUUCCACCUCUCCACCUCACCUCUUCAUCUUUUCUUUCCUCUCUAUCUCCUUUUUUUCUCUCUUCUUAUCCUCCUCUUUUCUCUUUUUUUUCACCUUUUUCUCUCCUCUCCUCCGUCGCCACACUCGCCACCACGGCCACGCCUCCCUCCUUCCCCUUCCUCCCCCGCCACCACGCCCUCACCUCCCCCUCGUCGCCCCCAGAGUGCCAGUGUCAGGUGCCACUGGGGCCUCGUCGCUCUCGACAUGGGAUGACCACGACCAUGACAGAUGCUCCAACCUUCGGGCUGGCGUCAGGGGAAGCCCGGAGUGGGGCGGGGUGACGUGGCCCUUUUGAGGAGCCCCUGGGGUGUCCACGACCCCCAGGGGAAGAUCAGCGACACGCGCCCACGUCCCCCAGCCCACCACGCCCACCAUGAACAUCGCCAAGCUGCGACACACGCUGAUGCGGUCUCGCACGCCCACGGGCGCCGAGAUGAAGCAACAGAACAGCCUGGAGGUGCCACCGCAGGUGCGCUCCGCCUCCUUCGACGAGAUGCAGCUCAAGCCGGGCCGCCGCGAGUCGUCCUCGUCGUCGUCGUCGCCGGCAGAGCGUCAGUCGUUUCUCCUGCGCGUGCCCUACCUGGGGCCCAAGCGCUCCAAGAGCUUCGACUCUGGCUGCGGCGACGUGGACGACACCGACUCGUCGUCGCGGAAGAAGAGCUCGCGGCCGUCGUCGCUGGACAAGAGCAGCCAGCAGUGCGUGCAUUGCAUAUACGUGGAAGAGCUGACGCGCCGCUUCGGGGGCGAGCCGCGGCGCAUCUCGUACAACACCUCGCUCGACAUGGUCAGCAGCCUCGAGAGCUCGCGGGAGGAAGUCGAAGACGAAGACGACGAUUGGGACGACGACGACAGCUCCAACGACGAGUUGCACGAAGUGAUAUGCGGCAUCAAGGUCACGCUAAGUCCGAACUCGCCGUCGUCAGCGUCGCCCACGCAGGAGGAGGCACCGCUGCCCGCCGCGCCGCCCCGUGCCAAGGCUGCCUCGCCCAAGCUGGAGCGCCAGCCCGCCGUCUUCUGCAUGAAUACCAGCGCCGAACUCAGCUCGCAGGAAAACAGCUUCGACCUGAGCGACGGCGGCUACAGCCACCACGGCUCCUACCUGUACCUGGGAUCCUCCAGCGAGUACGGCGACGCAGAGCACGGAGAGCAGGGCGGGGAGGCGGCGGCGGCAGCAGGGGGAUCCGGGGGGGAGCGCCCGCGGGAGGGCGUCACUGACGUGUACCUGGAGGUGCCGGCCCGUAGGGACCGCGCCGCCUCACUCGACAUCUCCUUCGCCAGCUUCCCUAAGCCCGAGGAGCUUAGCAAAAGCUCCCCUGCUGGACUCACCCGAUCCUGCUCCCUCGAGCCGCCCAAAGCCCUGCGCUCCAAAAGCAUCGACAUCGAGCUGCCCACGGAGGAGGAUGGCGACUACAAGGUGGUGGUGACCUCGCCCAAGUCUGCCAAGAAGGCGAUCAACUCGGAGGUCGAGAUCCAGUGUGAAAAUGGCGAGCGCCGCGUCCUUCGCUCCACCUGCGACUGGAACGAGGGAGCCAUCAAUGGCGACCACCUGUGGUGCCCCACCUCCGCCUCGGGGGACUUCUGCUACGUCGGCGAGGAUUAUUGCUGCAAAUCCGGGGCUCGUAUGAAAUGUUCGGCGUGCAAGAUCAUUGCCCACACAGGAUGCAUCGCCGCCCUUGUUGAGAAGGUGAAGUUCCCUUGCAAACCUUCCUUCCGCGAUGUGGGGCCACGCCAGUACCGGGAGCAGACCGCCACACACCACCACUGGGUCCACCGACGUAACCAGAAAGGGAAAUGCAAGCAGUGUAGCAAGGGUUUCCAGUCGAAGCUUCUGUUUGGCUCCAAGGAGAUCGUGGCCAUCAGCUGUUCGUGGUGCAAAGCGGCGUACCAUAACAAGGAAAGCUGCUUCAAUAUCAGCAAAAUUGAGGAAACGUGUUCUCUUGGUAUCCACACCAGUAUCAUUGUGCCUCCCUCCUGGAUCGUCAAACUCCCUCGUCGUGGUUCCUUCAAGUCCUCCCUGCGCAAAUCCCCCAAGAAGAGGAGCUCCACCAAGAGAAAGAGCAGGGACAAGGAGGGAGGAGAGGGUCAGAACGACAAGGAGACUCGGCCCUUCGCCAUCAAGCCAAUUCCCAACGCAAAUAUCAAGCCUCUCAUUGUCUUCAUCAACCCGAAGAGCGGCGGCAACCAGGGCGCCAAACUCAUGCAGAAGUUCCAAUGGCUACUGAACCCUCGCCAGGUGUUCGAUCUAACGCAAGGAGGCCCCAAGGCAGGGCUGGAAAUGUUUCGCAAAGUGGCCAACCUGCGCGUGCUGGCGUGUGGCGGUGACGGUACGGUGGGCUGGGUGUUGUCCGUGCUUGACCAGCUCAACUUCCAGCCUCCCCCUGCUGUGGCCGUGCUUCCCCUCGGCACUGGCAAUGACCUGGCUCGUGCUCUCGGUUGGGGCGGCGGCUACACAGACGAGCCAAUCAGCAAGAUCCUGUGCAACAUAGCGGAUGGCGAGGUGGUUCACUUGGAUCGGUGGCGCGUGGAUGUUACCAAGAAUGAAGACUUUGAGCCGACAGAGGAGGGGCGUGACACUCUUCCUCUCAGUGUGGUCAACAACUACUUUUCCUUUGGUGUUGAUGCUCAUAUCGCCCUUGAGUUCCACGAGGCAAGAGAGGCAAAUCCACAGAAGUUUAACUCUCGCCUGCGCAACAAGAUGUUCUACGGGCAGGCCGGCGGGAAGGAUCUCCUGCAGCGGAAGUGGAAGGACCUCUCAGACAAUUGCACGCUGGAGUGUGAUGGCAAGGACAUGACCCCCAUCCUGAAGGAGAACAAGGUGCACGCGGUGGUCUUCCUCAACAUUCCUAGCUACGGCUCAGGCACCCACCCUUGGAACAGGAGCAGUGGCAUUGAGCAGCAGACGGACGAUGGCAUUAUUGAAGUCAUCGGCCUCACCACAUACCAGAUGCCUCUGCUCCAGGCGGGAGGACACGGCACCACCAUCUGCCAGUGUAAACGAGCAAAGAUCAUCACCAAGAAGACAAUCCCAAUGCAGGUGGACGGCGAGGCAGCGAGAGUCAAUCCAAGCAUCAUUGAGCUGACACAUCUCAACAAAGCAUUGAUGGUGACCAAGAAGAAGGCAAAAUCUGUCACGAUACCUCACCUGGAGCAGCUGCGUCUCCAAGUGUCUCGCAUCACCAUGUUUGAUUACGAGCAACAUCACUACGACAAGGAGAAACUUCGCUCCACCUCCUCCUCCAUUGGUCUCAUCAUGAUUGACCAGGAUGCUGACUUAGAACAGGUUCGCAAGCACAUCAACAGAAUGAUGGAAGAGAAUACCAACCGUACUCGCCCCAACAAGCCCCUGUCUGAGAGCUGGUGCUUCCUGGAUUCCUGCACUGCUGAGAGGUUCUUCCGCAUUGACCGAGCACAGGAACACCUCCACUAUGUCACAGACAUCUGCACUGAGGACCUCUUUGUGUUGGAUCCAGAGCUUACCGACCCCACCAACAUCAGCGGAGGCAUGAGAGGGGAUGUCAGCGUGGACAACGACAUAGACCACAGUGAGCGGCUCGCUAUGGUAAGCGACAGUGACUCGGGAGUGGGCGGGAAUGAAGCCGACCAAAGGGGAGUGGGCGGGAGUGAAGCCGACCAAAGGAUCCCGACACCGGCCCUCACCCCACACCAGGAUUCCUCAGAUGCAGGGGAGGAGGAGGAGGUGGCCCACAGCUUGCAUGAUCGUGUCUUUGGUCACGAGUACUUCCCUCCCAGCCACUUGUUGGAAAAGAAUUCAGAGGGAAUCAUCAAGGCAGCCAAGCAAGGAGACCUCAAGAUGCUGAAGGACCUCCACUCCCAAGGGUACUCACUUCUCUCCAUCGAUUCGCGUGGACAGACGGCACUUCACUUUGGGGCGCGACACGGCUUCAAGGACAUCGUGCGCUACCUCAUUGCCUCAGCCCCCGCCUCCAUCCUCGACAUGGUGGACAAUGAGAGGGGACAGACAGCGCUACACCAGGCUGCCCAGAACCGCCGCCGCACCGUGUGCUGCAUGUUGGUGGCUGCCGGCGCCUCCCUCACCAUCAGGGACCUGCAGGGCAACACACCACGAGCACUGGCACAGCACGCAGACGACCAGGAACUCGCUGCCUACCUGGAGAGCCAAGAGAAAUUCAGUCAACACAACAGUUGUAAUCACAAUUUCGUUGACUAAACUGCUAACGACCCAUAACAGCCAAAGCUAAAAAGGCAAAUACUUCACUAGGCCAGGAGCAGUUUCAGACCAUGGUACACGAGGACCUUGAGACCACAGUAUGAUGGAGGCUGAUCCUGACCCUUCCCACACACACACUCUCCUGCCCCAAACUCCACCCACCCGAGCAGCAACCGCCGCUCGGGGGUGCCUAGGUGUGCUAGUCCAGAACUGCA
rnacentral:misc_RNA from 1 species